rnacentral:rRNA from 1 species
ACGUGAGAAUCUACCCUAAGGAGGGGAAUAACAGCUGGAAACGGUUGCUAAUACCCAUAUGCCGAAAGGUAAAGGAAUUUAUUCCACCUUAGGAAGAGCUCGCGCCUGAUUAGCUAGUUGGUUGGGGUAAAGGGACCCACCCAAGGCCAUGAUCAGUAGCUGGUUUGUAGAGGACGGUCAGCCACACUGGGACGUGAGACACGGCCCAGACUCCUACGGGAGGGCAGCAGUGGGGAAGUUUUCCGUCAAUGGGCGAAAGCCUGACGGAGCAAUACCGCGUGAGGGAUGAAAGCUUGUGGG